rnacentral:rRNA from 1 species
CAGCCGUAAACAAUGUGCGUUAGGUGUGUCGGUAACCACGCGUUACUGAUGCGCCGAAGAGAAAUCGUGAAACGCACCACCUGGGAAGUACGGUCGCAAGGCUGAAACUUAAAGGAAUUGGCGGGGGGAGCACCACAACAGGUGGAGCCUGCGGUUUAAUUGGACUCAACGCCGGAAAUCUCGACCGGAUAGGACAGACAUAUGAUAGUCGGGCUGAAGACUCUACUUGAUGAUCUGAGAGGAGGUGCAUGGCGUCAGUGACU